UAAAUGCGAUACGUAAUGUGAUACGCAAGUUGUAGUGAAUCAUUGAAAUCUUGAACGCAAAUUGCGCUUUUAAGUGAAAGCUUUUAAGCAUACUACGUUGAGGGUGGAACAUUAUGUUAAAUAAAUAAUUUAUUUUUUUAUUUUAUUUUGUGGGUGAUAAUAAUAAAUUAUUAUUCUCCUAUUAAAAAAUUUAAUUAAUUUUUAUUUUAUUAUAUAAAAUUAAUUCAGUAUCAAUUAUUAUUAACCCACCUCAUGGUAGUAUGAAGUACCCGCUGAACUUAA
rnacentral:misc_RNA from 1 species